UACGUAGGGACCGAGCGUUGUCCGGAAUCAUUGGGCGUAAAGAGCGUGUAGGCGGCCAUACAGGUCAGCUGUGAAAACUCGAGGCUCAACCUCGAGACGUCGGUUGAAACCGUAUGGCUAGAGUCCGGAAGAGGAGAGUGGAAUUCCCGGUGUAGCGGUGAAAUGCGCAGAUAUCGGGAAGAACACCUAUGGCGAAGGCAGCUCUCUGGGACGGUACUGACGCUGAGACGCGAAAGCGUGGGGAGCAAACAGG
rnacentral:rRNA from 1 species